rnacentral:rRNA from 1 species
GACGAACGCUGGCGGCGUGCUUAACACAUGCAAGUCGAACGAUGAAGAAGAGAAACGCGAACUUCGGUUCAAAUUUCACUUCGGAUAGUGGGAGACGGGUGAGUAACGCGGGAGGAACCUACCUCUUACAAAGGGAUAGGCUCGGGAAACCGUGAUUAAUACCAUAUGACACAUUCAUAAGGCAUCCUAAGAAUGUUAAAGCUACGGCGGUAAGAGAUGGGCUCGCGUCCCAUUAGCUAGGUGGUGAGGUAACGGCCCACCAAGGCGACGAUGGGUAACCGGCCUGAGAGGGUGAACGGUCACAUUGGAACUGAGACACGGUCCAAACUCCUACGGGAGGCAGCAGUGGGGAAUAUUGCACAAUGGAGGGAACUCUGAUGCAGCGACGCCGCGUGAGCGAUGAAGGAAUUCGUUUCGUAAAGCUCUGUUCUAUGGGAAGAAAAGGACUGUACCAUAGGAGAAAGCCCCGGCUAAAUACGUG